ACUCCCACCCUGGCCCUGCUCGCACCUUCUCUGCCCCGUGCUGGCAGGUGACAUGUAGAUUGCAAUCUCCCCUGCUGAUGAGGUUAUGAUGGAGUUGGGG